rnacentral:rRNA from 1 species
UACGAAGGGUGCAAGCGUUACUCGGAAUUACUGGGCGUAAAGCGUGCGUAGGCGGUCCGCGAAGUCUGAUGUGAAAGCCCCGGGCUCAACCUGGGAACUGCAUUGGAAACUAACGGGCUCGAGUGUGGCAGAGGGGGGUGGAAUUCCACGUGUAGCAGUGAAAUGCGUAGAGAUGUGGAGGAACACCGAUGGCGAAGGCAGCCCCCUGGGCUAACACUGACGCUCAGGCACGAAAGCGUGGGGAGCAAACAGG